ACCUUGAUGGCUCAGUUGGUAGAGCAUGAGACUCUUGAUCUCAGAAUUGUGAGUUUGAGCCACACGUUAGGUG
rnacentral:tRNA from 1 species